UAAAGUUGAGGAUUAUCAAACUUCAAAAAAGGACUUCAAGAACUUCAAAGAUAACCUCGUCUACUUCUGGGAUACACUGGUUGCUGAAUGUGAAAAUGGACCACUUUUUGAACCUGAUUCUGCCCCAGUCAUCCCCUAUUUUGUCCUCUCACUGUUUCAGGGGGGAUUUUUUGACACUCAAAAGCUAGAGGAUCUCCAUCAAAGAAAUAGAUUGGAGAAACACAAAAUUCCCAGAAAUACAUACAUUAAGAGCUUAAAAAACCUUUGUGAUUUUCUGUUUGGGUCUCGUCGGAACCCGGUGAAGCUCGCUUGUGGUCAGGUCAUUGUUCUUCAGUCCGUUGCCUCAGUCGCUGCUCGGAAAGAGGAUGGUGAUGCUGAAUAUUAACUGCUUGUAAACUUGAAAAUGUUGGAUUAUGAUCUUCAAUUGUGAAGGCAAAUUUCCAUCGAAAGCUUGCAUAAUGUUCUUGCACAGACUGCCCGCAAGGCAUAGCUCGAGUGGAAAAAGGUGGUUGAUUUGUGGCUUAGGUCACAGGUUCAAUCCCCACACCAUGCAAAGUGAAGUCCGAUAUUUAAAUGGAGAAGGGGUAGAGGGGCGGGCCCCAUUAUCCACCGAGCUUAGAAGGCUAUGGAUGUCCAAAGGGCGGGUCAUCGACGAAUUUCUCGGUUAUCAAAAAAAAAAGGAUCUUGCAGAGACUUUCGAGAACUUCAGAAGUAUUGAUGACAAGGCUACGUCUAUCUUAAACUCUGGAUCAUUCCAGUCAUGGAACAAUCUUCAUCUUCCUUAUCUCCAAGCGCAGUGCAUUGUUUGAUCUACUUGAGUCCUUCCUGACUACUAAAUCUCCGGAAGGUCUUCGUUCAAGUCAACUUGCAUGUAGGGUUGUGUUAUUUUUUCAGAACAGUGGUGGAUGUUCAGGAAAGCAACCCUUGCAUCAUCCACUGAGCUAGAAGCUUUGGUGUACUCAUCAGAUAUACGCAACGGCAGCAACUUCCAGUCUUCGGAAACUGAUCAUUGAUGCCCUUAUUUCCAUGCAUAUGGAAUUAAGAAAAUCCUAUGGACCUGAAGUGUCUGGUAUCCCUGAAUGGAUCAGAUGGGAAAAACACUAACUACUUCCUAGGGCACUAGAUAUUGUGAGCUUGGUGGAUGGCUGUCAUACAGGAUGAAACGUAUCCUGUCUAUGCUCUUGGAAUGAGAGAUAUCGGCUGAAUUAAGUGAUGAAGAUGCAACAAACCUAAUUCGGCUACUUUUUGCGUCAACUAGGAAGGCAGUUUUGGAGAAGAU